CCGCCCAUAUCACGUUGAAACACCGGUUUUCAUACGAUCACUGAAUUUAAGCGACAACGAGCCUGGUCAGUACCUAGACGGGUGUCGACUUGGGUAUACCAGGG